UGCGGGAUGAUGUAAUCGGCAACAUGCCUGCCUCUGGAGCAGGUCUUCUAGGUUCGAGUCCUAGUCCCGCAG
rnacentral:tRNA from 1 species